rnacentral:rRNA from 1 species
CUAGCGAGCCAACCUCCCACCCGUGUUUACUGUACCUUAGUUGCUUCGGCGGGCCCGCCAUUCAUGGCCGCCGGGGGCUCUCAGCCCCGGGCCCGCGCCCGCCGGAGACACCACGAACUCUGUCUGAUCUAGUGAAGUCUGAGUUGAUUGUAUCGCAAUCAGUUAAAACUUUCAACAAUGGAUCUCUUGGUUCCGGCAUCGAUGAAGAACGCAGCGAAAUGCGAUAACUAGUGUGAAUUGCAGAAUUCCGUGAAUCAUCGAGUCUUUGAACGCACAUUGCGCCCCCUGGUAUUCCGGGGGGCAUGCCUGUCCGAGCGUCAUUGCUGCCCAUCAAGCACGGCUUGUGUGUUGGGUCGUCGUCCCCUCUCCGGGGGGGACGGGCCCCAAAGGCAGCGGCGGCACCGCGUCCGAUCCUCGAGCGUAUGGGGCUUUGUCACCCGCUCUGUAGGCCCGGCCGGCGCUUGCCGAACGCAAAUCAAUCUUUUUCCAGGUUGACCUCGGAUCAGGUAGGGAUACCCGCUGAACUUAAGCAUAUCAAUAAGCGGAGGAAAAGAAACCAACCGGGAUUGCCUCAGUAACGGCGAGUGAAGCGGCAAGAGCUCAAAUUUGAAAGCUGGCUCCUUCGGGGUCCGCAUUGUAAUUUGCAGAGGAUGCUUCGGGUGCGGCCCCUGUCUAAGUGCCCUGGAACGGGCCGUCAGAGAGGGUGAGAAUCCCGUCUGGGAUGGGGUGUCCGCGCCCGUGUGAAGCUCCUUCGACGAGUCGAGUUGUUUGGGAAUGCAGCUCUAAAUGGGUGGUAAAUUUCAUCUAAAGCUAAAUACUGGCCGGAGACCGAUAGCGCACAAGUAGAGUGAUCGAAAGAUGAAAAGCACUUUGAAAAGAGAGUUAAAAAGCACGUGAAAUUGUUGAAAGGGAAGCGCUUGCGACCAGACUCGCCUCCAGGGUUCAGCCGGCAUUCGUGCCGGUGUACUUCCCUGGGGGCGGGCCAGCGUCGGUUUGGGCGGCCGGUCAAAGGCUCCCGGAAUGUAGUGCCUCCGGGGCACCUUAUAGCCGGGAGUGCAAUGCGGCCAGCCUGGACCGAGGAACGCGCU